CGAAUCGCAAGGUUAGAAUCGCGAACGAGGAAGCGAGAAUCCAGGGUUAAUAACGUCGAAUAUGGUGAUUCCUGAACGGUGGAUCGGCGGUGGAUCGUUAAUGGAAGAAGGCCCGUCGUGAUUUCAAUCAGCCUGACCUCCGAUUUCCAACUUCCCUGUACGUGAUUCGGUCGUCACGGCUUCGUGACUCCAGCGAAUCGAUUUAUCCGCGCCUUCCACACUCAUCUUCGCACGUUUCGAAGAAUGUGCACAACUCGGAAAAGGGAAACGCGUUUGCUGAAGAACAUGCUUUAAUAUCUCCUUAUCAAACAAAUUGAGCCCGUUUCGAUCGAAGGGACGACAGCGGGGGAGGAGGAGAGGAAGAGGAGUGAUUUAACGAGGUGGCUGGCAUGCCAGCGCGACCUCCGGGCUCGGCUUCCCGGUACGUGAGUCAGGAUCGCAGGAAUCGGGCGCGAGGAUGAGCGCAAAGAUAUCCCUGGCGAGCCGCGGCACGGCACAGUCGCCGGUCAACCAUCGUGGCAAAUCAUCGUCGGGGCUGCUGCUCGCCGGGAAGUCUGUGAAGAGGCCUUCGUCGAUGAGUAAGUCAGCCGUACUCGAUGCUCUCCACG